CUAGGACUACACUGUCCUGAGAAGAGUAUGUUACCUCCGGUCUAAGGGAAACACCAGGAGCAUGGCCAAGGUGGAUGUCUAACACGCCGUGUUAAGUGUCAGAGCAGGCACACACCAGGUGCUGUGGGAACCGGUCCAGCUUCAGAUCAGCCCAAUCUUCCUCAGCUGCAGCUCUACAGGGGCGGCUUUAUACCAGCAAGUUAGCAUCUUCGAUAUUUAUGAGAUACAUGCAAUGGUUUGACUAAAUACCACGCGCAAAAAGCAACUUACAGGAAGAGUUUAUUUUGGCUUGCAGUUACAGAAUGAGAGAGUCCUUGACAGGAGAUGACCAGAGCAGAAGGUUGAGCUACAACGUCUGGAUCACACGUAGGAAUCGGGGAGCAAGAACUGGAAGUGGGAAGGGGCAAGCGACUCUCAAAUCCAACCCUGAAUGACGCACUUCCCCCAGCAAAGGCCCCAUGCUCAAAGUCCCAUAACUCCUCAAACAGCGCCGCCAACUGGGAACCAAGAGCUUAAAGUCCUGAGCCUAAGGGGGAACACCACACACAUCCGGAUGUUCUAAUUAGCAUUACUUCAUUUCUGCUACUGACUUUGAGUUAGAUUCCUUGAAAUAUUAAAAUUUCUGUGUGGGGGAAUAAUAAGACUUUUUUUGGGGGGUCUAAUGUGAUCUGUCUUAUAGAAUGUUAUGUAUGUGUUUCGAGGCAACAUGUAUUCUACACCACUGGGUGGAAUGGUCCACACCAUAAGUCUUUUAAAGGGUCCUUUUGGACUAAUGCUUGCUCAAA